AUGCUCCCAGCUUCAGUGCUGACGGUAAUAAGCAGGUGUGUGUGUGUGUGUGUUUCUGCGGCGUCUGACACUCUCGAGCAUGAGUUGUGCUCCACUGAUAUGAAACGAGACUUCUUCUGCCACAGACUGCCACCGUUACUGCUGGAGCAGGCCGAACUCGAACCUGGUGAGUCUCACGGGCCUGCCGUCGCGUGUUUGACGCACCGCUGAUGUCUGUGACCAACGGGUUUCUCUUUAGCUGAGAGACCGCCGUCGCUGCCAGACACCGUGUGUCUCCGGUUCAAACGGUGGAGCCCGAGACAACACACACAACCAAUCAAAAUUCUGGAAUAAUUAACAUACGUAAUGUUUCCGAAAGAGUCUCAUCUGCUCACCAGUGCUGCAUUUAUUUGAACAAAAUACAGUAAAAAUUGUGAAAUAGUUUUGUAAUGUAAAACAGCUGUUUUCUGUGUGAAUCUCUGUUAAACUGUAAUUUAAUUCUGUGAUGUGCAGCUGUAUUUUCAGCAUCAUUACUCCAGUCUUCAGUGUCAAGUCAAGUCACCUUUAUUUAUAUAGCGCUUUAAAACAGAUUGUCAAAGCAACUGAACAACAUUUAUUAGGAAAACAGUGUCAAUAAUGCAAAAUGACAGUUAAAGGCAGUUCAUCAUUGAAUUCAGUGAUGUCAUCAUGCAGCUCAGUUCAGUUUAAAUAGUAUCUGUGCAAUAAUUUGCAAUCAAGUCAAUGAUAUCACUGUAAAUGAAGUGUCCCCAACUAAGCAAGCCAGAGGCGACAGCGGCAAGGAACCAAAACUCCAUCAGUGACAGAAUGGAGAAAAAACCUUGGGAGAAACCAGGCUCAGUCGGGGGGUCAGUUCUCCUCUGACCAGACGAAACCAGCAGUUCAAUUCCAGGCUGCAGCAAAGUCAGGUUGUGCAGAAGAAUCAUCUGUUUCCUGUGGUCUUGUCCCGGUGGUCGUCUGAGACAAGGUCUUUACAGGGGAUCUGACUCUGGGGCUCUAGUUGUCCUGGUCUCCGCUGUCUUUCAGGAAUGUAGAGGUCCUUUCUAGGUGCUGAUCCACCAUCUGGUCUGGAUACAUACUGGAUCCGGGUGACUGCAGUGACCCUCUGACUUGGAUACAGACUGGAUCUGGUGGCUACGGUGACCUCGGAAUAAGAGAGAAACAGACUAAUAUUAGCGUAGAUGCCAUUCUUCUAACGAUGUAGCAAGUACAU
ensembl:lncRNA